rnacentral:rRNA from 1 species
GAUGAACGCUGGCGGCGUGCCUAAUACAUGCAAGUCGAGCGAACAGACGAGGAGCUUGCUCCUUUGACGUUAGCGGCGGACGGGUGAGUAACACGUGGAUAACCUACCUAUAAGACUGGGAUAACUUCGGGAAACCGGAGCUAAUACCGGAUAACAUGUUGAACCGCAUGGUUCAACAGUGAAAGACGGUCUUGCUGUCACUUAUAGAUGGAUCCGCGCCGCAUUAUCUAGUUGGUAAGGUAACGGCUUACCAAGGCAACGAUGCGUAGCCGACGUGAGAGGGUGGUCGGCCACACGGGAGCUGAGACGCGGACCAGACUCCUAAGGGAGGCAGCAGUAGGGAAUCUUCCGCAAUGGGCGAAAGCCUGACGGAGCAACGCCGCGUGAGUGAAGAAGGUCUUCGGAUCGUAAAACUCUGUUAUUAGGGAAGAACAAAUGUGUAAGUAACUAUGCACGUCUUGACGGUACCUAAUCAGAAAGCCACGGCUAACUACGUG